rnacentral:rRNA from 1 species
UACGUAGGGGGCUAGCGUUGUCCGGAAUCAUUGGGCGUAAAGCGCGUGUAGGCGGUCCGGUAAGUCCGCUGUGAAAGUCGAGGGCUCAACCCUCGAAUGCCGGUGGAUACUGUCGGGCUAGAGUGUGGAAGAGGCGAGUGGAAUUCCUGGUGUAGCGGUGAAAUGCGCAGAUAUCAGGAGGAACACCUAUUGCGAAGGCAGCUCGCUGGGACGUUACUGACGCUGAGACGCGAAAGCGUGGGGAGCAAACAGG